GACAAAGGAUGCAAGCGUUAUCCGGAAUUAUUGGGCGUAAAGAGCUCGUAGGCGGUUUGUCGCGUCUGCCGUGAAAGUCCGGGGCUCAACUCCGGAUCUGCGGUGGGUACGGGCAGACUAGAGUGAUGUAGGGGAGACUGGAAUUCCUGGUGUAGCGGUGAAAUGCGCAGAUAUCAGGAGGAACACCAAAGGCGAAGGCAGUGUCCUGGGGAGUACCUGACGCUCAGGUGCGAAAGCCAGGGGAGCGAACGGG
rnacentral:rRNA from 1 species